CCCUUAGAUGUCCUGGGCUGCACGCGCGCUACACUGAUGUGUUCAAUAAGCACCUAACCUACUCCGAAGGGACUGGGUAACCUUUGCAAAGCACAUCGUGAUGGGGAUAGAUUAUUGCAAUUAUUAAUCUUCAACGAGGAAUGCCUAGUAGGCGCAAGUCAUCAGCUUGCGUCGAUUACGUCCCUGCCCUUUGUACACACCGCCCGUCGCUCCUACCGAUUGGGUGUGCUGGUGAAAUGUUCGGAUCGGCCGUUUGUCGCGGUUUCCGCGGCUCGUGGCUGAGAAGUUCAUUAAACCCUCCCACCUAGAGGAAGGAGAAGUCGUAACA
rnacentral:rRNA from 1 species